rnacentral:rRNA from 1 species
GAUGAACGCUGGCGGCGUGCCUAAUACAUGCAAGUCGAGCGAACGGACGAGAAGCUUGCUUCUCUGAUGUUAGCGGCGGACGGGUGAGUAACACGUGGAUAACCUACCUAUAAGACUGGGAUAACUUCGGGAAACCGGAGCUAAUACCGGAUAAUAUUUUGAACCGCAUGGUUCAAAAGUGAAAGACGGUCUUGCUGUCACUUAUAGAUGGAUCCGCGCUGCAUUAGCUAGUUGGUAAGGUAACGGCUUACCAAGGCAACGAUGCAUAGCCGACCUGAGAGGAUGAUCGGCCACACUGGAACUGAGACACGGUCCAGACUCCUACGGGAGGCAGCAGUAGGGAAUCUUCCGCAAUGGGCGCAAGCCUGACGGAGCAACGCCGCGUGAGUGAUGAAGGUCUUCGGAUCGUAAAACUCUGUUAUUAGGAAAGAAAAGAUGUGUAAGUAACUGUGCACAUCUUGACGGUACCCAAUCAGAAAGCCACGGCUAACUACGUG